rnacentral:rRNA from 1 species
UACGGAAGGCAGCAGUGGGGAAUCUUGCGCAAUGGGCGAAAGCCUGACGCAGCCAUGCCGCGUGAAUGAUGAAGGUCUUAGGAUUGUAAAAUUCUUUCACCGGGGACGAUAAUGACGGUACCCGGAGAAGAAGCCCCGGCUAACUUCGUGCCAGCAGCCGCGGUAAUACGAAGGGGCUAGCGUUGCUCGGAAUUACUGGGCGUAAAGGGAGCGUAGGCGGACAUUUAAGUCAGGGGUGAAAUCCCGGGGCUCAACCUCGGAAUUGCCUUUUGAUACUGGGUGUCUUGAGUAUGAGAGAGGUGUGUGGAACUCCGAGUGUAGAGGUGAAAUUCGUAGAUAUUCGGAAGAACACCAGUGGCGAAGGCGACACACUGGCUCAUUACUGGCGCUGAGGCUCGAAAGCGUGGGGAGCAAACAGGGAUUAGAUACC